rnacentral:rRNA from 1 species
AGUGAACGCUGGCGGUAGGCCUAACACAUGCAAGUCGAACGGCAGCACAGUAAGAGCUUGCUCUUACGGGUGGCGAGUGGCGGACGGGUGAGGAAUACAUCGGAAUCUACUUUUUCGUGGGGAUAACGUAGGGAAACUUACGCUGAUACCGCAUACGACCUACGGGUGAAAGCAGGGGAUCUUCGGACCUUGCGCGAUUGAAUGAGCCGAUGUCGGAUUAGCUAGUUGGCGGGGUAAAGGCCCACCAAGGCGACGAUCCGUAGCUGGUCUGAGAGGAUGAUCAGCCACACUGGAACUGAGACACGGUCCAGACUCCUACGGGAGGCAGCAGUGGGGAAUAUUGGACAAUGGGCGCAAGCCUGAUCCAGCCAUACCGCGUGGGUGAAGAAGGCCUUCGGGUUGUAAAGCCCUUUUGUUGGGAAAGAAAAGCAGCAGGUUAAUACCCCGCUGUUCUGACGGUACCCAAAGAAUAAGCACCGGCUAACUUCGUG